AAUCCAUAGGUUAAUGAGGCGAACCGGGGGAACUGAAACAUCUAAGUACCCCGAGGAAAAGAAAUCAACCGAGAUUCCCCCAGUAGCGGCGAGCGAACGGGGAGGAGCCCAGAGCCUGAAUCAGCAUGUGUGUUAGUGGAAGCGUCUGGAAAGGCGCGCGAUACAGGGUGACAGCCCCGUACACAAAAGCGCAUGUGCUGUGAGCUCGAUGAGUAGGGCGGGACACGUGGUAUCCUGUCUGAAUAUGGGGGGACCAUCCUCCAAGGCUAAAUACUCCUGACUGACCGAUAGUGAACCAGUACCGUGAGGGAAAGGCGAAAAGAACCCCGGCGAGGGGAGUGAAAAAGAACCUGAAACCGUGUACGUACAAGCAGUGGGAGCACCCUUUGGGUGUGACUGCGUACCUUUUGUAUAAUGGGUCAGCGACUUAUAUUCUGUAGCAAGGUUAACCGAAUAGGGGAGCCGGAGG
rnacentral:rRNA from 1 species